UUGCCUUCAACUUUUGUGGGAGGUCCAAGAUACAUGCAUGAAAAGUAUAUGGAUGCAAUGGCCGUUUGCUCACAUUUUGGCUAUCCAGAUUUAUUCAUAACCUUCACUUGCAAUCCUAAAUGGCCUGAGAUUACAAGGUAUGUAAGUUCCCGACGCUUACAAACAGAAGACAGACCUGAUAUUCUUUCGAUAUAAAAAACAACAACCUCUUUGGCCCAUCAGCAGCAGGUAAAUUCUAUUACAUACUUAUAACAAAAAUAUAUUUUGUGUUUUAUUUUAUUCUAAUGAUAUUCUUUUGAAAUGAACAGUGAUAUACACAAUUGAAUUCCGAAAAAGAGGACUUCCGCACGCUCAUAUAUUGUUGUUUUUACAGCGGGGAUCAAAGCUUCCUACCACAGAUGACAUAGACAAGUUUAUAUGUGCUGAAAUUCCAGAUCAAGCAUCUAAUCCAACAUUAUAUGAUAUAGUUAGAGAUAUAAUGGUUCAUGGUCCCUGUGGGUUAGCAAAUCCAAACUCGCCAGGUAUGGUGAAAGGAAAAUGUACCAAGCGAUUUCCUAAAGAUUUUUCCCCUCAUACUUCCAUUAAUAAAGAAGGAUUCCCAGUUUACAGAAGAGGAGAUGAUGGAAAAUCAAUGAAGAAAAACGGGAUUGAGAUUGAUAACAGGUACAUCAUUCCUUAUAACCCACAACUACUCCUCAAAUAUCAAGCUCAUAUCAAUGUGGAAUGGUGCAAUCAAUCAAGAGCCAUCAAGUAUUUGUUCAAAUACAUCAACAAAGGAAAUGACCGCGUCACUGCAAAACUACUGCAAGAGUCAGCAAAUGGAGGAAAUUCUGAAAAUACUUCUCAAAAUAUAGUAGAUGAAAUCAAGCGUUUCAUUGAUUGUCGGUAAGUUUUUAAUACUAACGUUCUAUAUACCAUCUCACAUUUUAAGAGUAAAAUAUCUCACAUUUUUUUCUAACUAUUUAAUAGGUAUAUAUCACCAUGUGAAGGAAUGUGGAGAAUAUUGGGGUUUGAGCUACCUUACAGUAGCACAUCUAUUCAAAGGUUGUCUUUCCAUCUACCUGGAGAACAUAAUGUCACCUAUGAUGACGAGGAAGAUAUUGAUGACGUAUUGACAAAAGAGAAAAAUCAAACGUCACAAUUUUUGGAGUUUAUGAAAAUGUGUAGUCAAAAUUCUGAUGCAAAGGAAUUGACUUACAUUCAGUUCCCCUACUUUUUUGUAUGGAACAAGUCGAAACCAGAAUGGACUCCACGUCAACGAAGUUCAGCUGUUGGUAGAAUCCAUCCUACUUCACCAUCCGCGGGUCAACGAUUCUACUUGAGGAUUCUUUUGAACAAAGUUAAAGGACCAACAUGCUACGAAGAUAUACGUACCGUUGAUGGAAUUACAUAUCCAACCCACAAGGAAGCUUGCUAUGCUUUAGGUUUACUUGAUGAUGAUAAGGAGUACAUUGAAGCCAUCAAGGAAGCAAGUCAAUGGGGGUCAGGUGUUUACUUACGUCGAAUAUUCGUUUAUCUUUUAGCUUCAGAAAGUAUGUCACAAACUGAACAUGUUUGGUCGGAAACAUGGCAUUUACUUUCUGAUGACAUUUUACAUAUGCAACGUGCAAUCCUCCAGAGGCCAGGUUUGUCCUUACAAUAAUAAUAUAUAAAAAGUUACAUCUCUAGAAGAUUACAUAUAUGAAUUAUACUAAAUACUAGACGUAUAUCAUAUUUAGUUUUGUACAAUAUUUUUUUUUGUAUUUUGUAAGACAUAAUAUUUUCCAAAUUCUAAAAGUUUCACAGUUGUUAUAAAUAAUUUGCUACACGUAUUAUUGAUUUUUCUAAUUCCUUAAUUUUUCAGGACUAGAAAUGUCAAAUGAUCAGCUAAAGAAUCAAACUUUGUUGGAGAUCGAAAAGCAGUUACGCUCCAGUGGAAAUACUCUCGAAAACUUCUCUUCAAUGCCAUUUCCCACAAACAGCAAUAUUCCUUCUAUGGUCAAUAUAUUGAUAACUGAUGAGCUGUGUUACGACAGAGACGUAUGUGCUCAGGAACAUCAAAGAUUACAGUCUAGAUUGACGUCUGAACAAAGGGAUAUUUAUAAUACUAUCAUGAAAGCUGUCACAACAAAUUCUGGUGGUGUGUUCUUUGUCAAUGGAUUUGGUGGGACAGGAAAGACAUUCCUUUGAAAAACUCUAUCAACAUACAUUCGUUCAGUUGGAGAUAUCGUCUUGAAUGUAGCUUCAAGUGGAAUGGCAGCACUGUUACUAGAUGGAGGACGCACAGCUCAUUCUCGGUUUUCAAUCCCAUUACAGCUGAACGAAUGUUCCACUUGCUCAUUUACCACAAAUAGCGAGAUAGCUGAAUUGUUAUUGAAAGCUAAGUUGAUCAUUUGGGAUGAGGCACCAAUGUUGCACAAACAUUGUUUUGAAGCUCUAGAUAGAAGUUUGAAAAAUGUUUUACGAGCAGCAAAGGCUCCUAACUACAAUAGGCCAUUUGGUGGUAAGACUAUUGUUUUUGGAGGUGACUUUCGCCAAGUGCUCCCAGUAAUUCAUAGGGGUAGCAGGCAAAAAAUUGUGCAAGCUUCUCUCACUUCUUCUGUGCUGUGGAAAUCUUGCAAGGUGCUUAGUUUAACAAAGAAUAUGCGGCUAACUGUUGAUUCAGACCCAGCAGAAGCUGAAUCCAUCAAAGAAUUCUCCGAAUGGAUUCUAAAAUUAGGCGAUGGGAAGUUAUCUGAACCCAAUGAUGGUGAAGCAGUGAUUGAUAUACCAGAUGACAUGCUGCUCAUGGAUUCACUUGAUCCAAUCACGUCAAUCACUAAUGCCACGUUUCCGUCACUGAUAGAGCAUAUGGAGGAUGAGUCUUUUUUCAAAGAUCGUGCUAUAUUAUGUCCCACAAAUGAUGUUGUCAAUGAGGUCAACAAUCACAUCAUGGAUCUUCUUCCGGGUGAUUUACAGACAUAUUAUAGCUCUGAUAAAAUCUGUGAAUCAGAUUUCAGUGAUAAAAGAGAUGAAGAUGUCACAGUUGAAUUCCUUAACUCGAUUAAGUGUGCAGGAGUGCCCAACCAUGUUCUGAAGCUAAAGAAAGGGGUUCCAGUUAUGCUUCUAAGAAACAUUGACCAGAAAUGUGGUUUGGUCAAUGGAACUAGAUUGCAGGUAACACAACUGGGAACUCAUAUCAUUGAAGCAAAAGUCAUUACUGGUAAUCAUGUGGGGGGUAAGAUCUAUCUGCCAAGAAUGGUCCUUACACCUACGGAUGCUAGGUUGCCAUUUCAGUUUCAGCGAAGACAAUUUCCGAUUUCUCUCUGCUUUGGAAUGACAAUUAAUAAGAGCCAAGGUCAGAGUUUAUCUCAUGUGGGGAUCUACUUACCAAAACCAGUUUUUGCACAUGGUCAGCUAUAUGUUGCUGUGUCAAGAGCCAAAAGUAGGGGAGGUUUGAAGAUCCUAAUCGUUGACGAAGAAGGCAAGAGAGCAAAGAAAACAACAAAUGUUGUUUUUAAAGAAAUAUUUCAGAAUUUCAGACAAGAAUGAUGAAUUCUCAGGUAGUAACUAUGUAAAUAUAGUCAUAAAUUUUCUUUGCAAACUCUCUUAUUCGUAACAUAUGUACACUACUAUUUUCAGGUACAUGUGUGAAGUACAUCUUCAGAUACGUGCAUCAACAGCAGUAAAACACAUGUCAAUCACAUUGAUGCUUAAACUUACCUUGAUUUUAUGUAUAUAUUAGGAUAUAUAAAUAUCUCUGCAACUUUGUACAGCUGAUUUUAACAAUGAAAUUGGUUUAUCUUGGGUUAAUUAGACUGCAUACAAGUGAUCAUGCUUCUCUAAUUCAAAUUGACUAUCUAUCUUAGAUUUUAUUUGUGAAUCAAGUUACAAUUUACAAUCAGAAAAUAACCUAAUGCAAAAGUCAAUGAAAUGUUACCAAUAUUGAUAUAUAUGUAACACUUAAGAUGAUUUACUUACCUCGAUUUUAUCAAAUCGUUCAUUUUUGAUAAAACAAAUGACAGAGAUAGUAAAAAUCACGAACCUAGGAUGUGGCGAUCAUAUGGAUGUGUCGAUGCCCCCUCUAGGAAAUAAAGGCGCAUCCGUAUCAGUUUUGAAAAUUAAAUUAGUCAAAGGCUGAUAAGAUAGCUCACCUCAGCUCAGAAAUACCCUUUAUACUUGAGACGUGAUGUCUUAACAGGAAAAUAUGAAACAUGAAAAUAAGCAAUAAGAAAGGAAGCCAUUAAUAAUGUGAUGAUCGUGGAGAAAAGAAAAUGAACAAGGCAAGAGGAAAACGUGAGUGACUUUUCAC
rnacentral:lncRNA from 1 species